rnacentral:rRNA from 1 species
GAUGAACGCUGGCGGCGUGCCUAAUACAUGCAAGUCGAGCGAAUGGAUUAAGAGCUUGCUCUUAUGAAGUUAGCGGCGGACGGGUGAGUAACACGUGGGUAACCUGCCCAUAAGACUGGGAUAACUCCGGGAAACCGGGGCUAAUACCGGAUAAUAUUUUGAACUGCAUGGUUCAAAAUUGAAAGGCGGCUUCGGCUGUCACUUAUGGAGGGACCCGCGUCGCAUUAGCUAGUUGGUGAGGUAACGGCUCACCAAGGCAACGAUGCGUAGCCGACCUGAGAGGGUGGUCGACCACACUUGGACUGAGACACGGCCCAGACUCCUACGGGAGGCAGCAGUAGGGAAUCUUCCGCAAUGGACGAAAGUCUGACGGAGCAACGCCGCGUGAGUGAUGAAGGCUUUCGGGUCGUAAAACUCUGUUGUUAGGGAAGAACAAGUGCUAGUUGAAUAAGCUGGCACCUUGACGGUACCUAACCAGAAAGCCACGGCUAACUACGUGCCAGUAGCCGCGGUAA